AUACGGAGGGUGCAAGCGUUAUUUGGAAUCACUGGGCGUAAAGGACGCGUAGGCGGGUUGGCAAGUCAGAUGUGAAAUCCUACAGCUUAACUGUAGAACUGCAUUUGAAACUGCUAACCUAGAGUAUGGGAGGGGGAGAUGGAAUUAGUGGUGUAGGGGUAAAAUCCGUAGAUAUCACUAGGAAUACCGAAAGCGAAGGCGAUCUCCUGGAACAUAACUGACGCUAAGGCGUGAAAGCGUGGGGAGCAAACAGGAUUAGAUACCCCAGUAGUCC
rnacentral:rRNA from 1 species